GACGAACGCUGGCGGCGUGCCUAAUACAUGCAAGUCGAACGAGUUGCGAACGGGGGAGUAACACGUGGGAACCUGCCCCAUAGCGGGGGAUAACUAUUGGAAACGAUAGCUAAUACCGCAUAUUGUGAGAUGGACCUGCGUUGUAUUAGUUAGUUGGUGAGGUAAGGGCUCACCAAGGCGACGAUACAUAGCCGACCUGAGAGGGGAAUCGGCCACACUGGGACGGGGACACGGCCCAGACUCCUCCGGGAGGCAGCAGUGGGGAAUAUUGCACAAGGGGGGAAAGCCUGAUGCAGCCAUGCCGCGUGUAUGAAGAAGGCCUUGGGGUUGUAAAGUACUUUCAGCGAGGAGGCGUUACUCGCAGAAGAAGCACCGGCUAACUCCGUGCCAGCAGCCGCGGUAAUAC
rnacentral:rRNA from 1 species